GCAUAUCAAUAAGCGGAGGAAAAGAAANNAACAAGGAUUCCCCCUAGUAACUGCGAGUGAAGCGGGAAAAGCUCAAAUUUAAAAUCUGGCGGCUUUUGGCUGUCCGAGUUGUAGUCUGGAGAAGUGCUUUCCGCGCUGGACCGUGUAUAAGUCUCUUGGAACAGAGCGUCAUAGAGGGUGAGAAUCCCGUCUUUGACACGGACUACCAGUGCUUUGUGAUGCGCUCUCAAAGAGUCGAGUUGUUUGGGAAUGCAGCUCAAAAUGGGUGGUGAAUUCCAUCUAAAGCUAAAUAUUGGCGAGAGACCGAUAGCGAACAAGUACCGUGAGGGAAAGAUGAAAAGCACUUUGGAAAGAGAGUUAAACAGUACGUGAAAUUGCUGAAAGGGAAACGCUUGAAGUCAGUCGCGUCGUCCGGAACUCAGCCUUGCUUUUGCUUGGUGCACUUUCCGGAUGACGGGUCAGCAUCGAUUUCGACCGUCGGAAAAGGGCUGGAGUAAUGUGGCACCUCCGGGUGUGUUAUAGACUCUGGUCGCAUACGGCGGUUGGGAUCGAGGAACGCAGCGCGCCGCAAGGCAGGGGUUCGCCCACUUUCGCGCUUAGGAUGCUGGCAUAAUGGCUUUAAACGACCCGUCUUGAAACACGGACCAAGGAGUCUAACAUACCUGCAAGUGUUUGGGUGGAAAACCCGAGCGCGUAAUGAAAGUGAAAGUUGAGAUCCCUGUCGUGGGGAGCAUCGACGCCCGGACCAGACGUUCUCUGACGGAUCCGCGGUAGAGCAUGUAUGUUGGGACCCGAAAGAUGGUGAACUAUGCCUGAAUAGGGUGAAGCCAGAGGAAACUCUGGUGGAGGCUCGUAGCGAUUCUGACGUGCAAAUCGAUCGUCAAA
rnacentral:rRNA from 1 species